UAAAUACUUCAUCCGUUCGAAAAUACUUAUCCUAGAAAUGAAUGAAUCUAGACUUAUUUUAGUUAUAGAUACAUUCAUUAUAUUUAUUUUUAGAACAAGUAUUUUCAGACGAAGGGAGUAGGAA
rnacentral:pre_miRNA from 1 species